GUUUACCAAAACAAAAGAAAGGUUACGGAUAUCCGUAACUUUAAUAGGGAGCAGUUGUUUAUUUCAUUGAACAAGCUGAACGAAUAAUUGACAAAAUGAUUGAUACCCAUAACAGAUAAAGGCAGUUCUUGCAAUGAAAAAAAGGGGGGUUGCCGACAUGUAAAUAAAAAUGAAAUACAGCUCAUGUUAUAUAUCCAUGGUGUCUUGAAGAAGAGUAAAAUUUCAAAGAUAUACUGGAGAACAGAAAAAGUUCAGACUAAUAGUAUUUUAUUAAUUUUUAAUUUUAUUACUGUUAAUUUUAGAAUAAAAUAGCCCUAGAUAGGCAUCUUCAUAUAUAUAGCUGAUAACCGUCAGCUGAUGCAAUUGCGAUAUUUGCACAUUAACCGUCACAGGUAACAUUAAUGUAUUGGCCAAAAUGCAAAGCAUGCAAACCAUAGAUAAACAAACAGUGAUAUAACUGUGAAAUUUAGAGUAAACCAGCCCAAGAUAGACAUCUUCAUAUUCAGCAUGGCAUAUAGCUCUCUUAACACGGUCAGCCAUUUAUCGUCCCCUUCUGACAGACUAUCAUCGUUAUAAUUUGUUUCAAAACUUUAAAGAGGAGGGGAUGUACAUGCUUUAGGCAACGUGAAUUGUUUUCUAU
rnacentral:lncRNA from 1 species